UAUAUAUAUAAUAUUUUAUAAUGGUAUCUACCUUACUGACAUUAUCAAGCUGUGCAAAGCCAGAUACAGGUAAUAAUAUUUCAUGACAAGUCUAAUCUGAGUUUAAUUAUAUUAAAUUAUUUCAGAAGCAUCUGCCUACCCUCAAUGACUCAAUUGCAAAGAAAGUCUUCUGCAAACACUGGAAAUGUUGGAAUCCUCAAGAAAAGCUUAUCUUUCAUUCUGUGUUCUGUGAUGAUCAGAUGGUGGAGAUGUGGAAUAAGGAGAAAUUAUUAACAGAAUAAGGAGGAAACAGGUAAGAUGUCAACUCACAUCAAUUGAGAGACUUCCACUGACUGCAGUGGCCUUCAAAUUGAGCUUCAAACAUUUCCUGUAGGAGAAAAAGUAGUUUAUUUGGUGGCAGCUUUUGCAGUUUUAGUUUUACUAUGUAUCUCAACAGGUUUAUAAUUUGUCAGUUUUUGCUAUACAAAUGAAAUAUUGCCCAUGUUGUGUGCAACCUACCAAAACAAAAUAAAGACCUUUGCAUAUUGUGUGUAUAUUUUAUU
rnacentral:lncRNA from 1 species